ACAACCAUAUCAUAUUGAAAAACCAGUUCUCAUAUGAUCACUAAAGUUAAGCAACAUCAAGCCUGGUCUGUAUCUAGAUGGAUGACUUCUUGGGAAUACCAGGUGCUGUAAG